AUUGCGGGCAGAGGGAUCCUCCUCCGAUCGCCACCGCUGCUUCUUCCUGGUCACUGCUGAAGAGCUGAAGUACUUGGUGGAACUGGCAGCUGACAGGUGCUGUAUGCUCUCCAUGCAGAGUAUGAUGGACCUAUUCCAUAACAUGAGCAGCAGAAGUUAAGUGAUGAAAGCUGUUUCAGCACACAGCCAAGCUGAAGAGGAAUAACCACAGAUUUGGUAUCAUAUGAAGUCAGAAUAAAUCCUGCUUUAAAGGCUACUUCAUUAUGUCUUGGUAUCUUACUGCCUAAAUUCUUCUACAGCCUGAAAUUAUAUGCUAUUCUUACUAAGGUAUAACUUAGCAGAGGUUUGGGGUUUUAUUUCAGUGCAACUGCUAUGCCCAUAUGUGUGCAAUAAUAACUCCUGUGCUGUUGGGACUUUUUUCAGACUGCAGCAUUCUCACACUUAACAUACAGAAAUAUCAAGUACAUGAAAGUGCUAUUUGAGGGUGUAAAAUGAGUUUGCAAACCAUAGCAGAGGAAUUACAUGCCGCUACUAUAGGAAUGGAGGUACCAUACACAGUCUCAUAAGUUAGAAUCAUAGAAUUGCCAGGGCUGGAAGGGACCUCAAGAAUUAUCUAGUUCCAGCCUCCCUGCCAUGGGCAAUGACACCUCACACUAGAUCAGGUUGCUCAGAGCCUCAUUUACAAACACCUGCAGGGAUGGGGCUUCUGCCAUCUCUCUGAGCAACCUGUUUCAGUGUCUCACCACCCUCAUGCUUAAGAACUUCUUUCUAACAUCCAAUGUCA